GAGGGGCAUCGGGGCGAGGAGCAAUCCUUGCCGCCGGCGACCGGCGCACGGGUGAGUAACGCGUAUGCGACCUGCCCGUUGCAGGGGGAUAAUCGGGAGAAAUCCCGUCUAAUACCGCGUAACGCCGCGGGGCUGCAUGGCCCUGCGGCCAAAGGAAGCGAUUCCGGCAACGGAUGGGCAUGCGUGACAUUAGCUAGUUGGCGGGGCAACGGCCCACCAAGGCGACGAUGUCUAGGGGUUCUGAGAGGAAGGUCCCCCACACUGGUACUGAGACACAGACCAGACUCCUACGGGAGGCAGCAGUGAGGAAUAUUGGUCAAUGGGCGCGAGCCUGAACCAGCCAAGUCGCGUGAGGGAUGACGGCCCUACGGGUUGUAAACCUCUUUUGUCGGGGAGCAAAUUCCGCCACGCGUGGCGGAGUCGAGAGUACCCGAAGAAAAAGCAUCGGCUAACUCCGUGCCAGCAGCCGCGGUAAUACGGAGGAUGCGAGCGUUAUCCGGAUUUAUUGGGUUUAAAGGGUGCGUAGGCGGACUGUCAAGUCAGCGGUAAAAUACGGGGGCUCAACCUCCGCCCGCCGUUGAAACUGACGGUCUUGAGUGGGCGAGAAGUAUGCGGAAUGCGUGGUGUAGCGGUGAAUGCAUAGAUAUCACGCAGAACUCCGAUUGCGAAGGCAGCAUACCGGCGCCCAACUGACGCUGAAGCACGAAAGCGUGGGUAUCGAACAGGAUUAGAUACCCUGGUAGUCCACGCAGUAAACGAUGAAUACUAGCUGUCCGGGGCGAAUGGGCCCUGGGUGGCACAGCGAAAGCGUUAAGUAUUCCACCUGGGGAGUACGCCGGCAACGGUGAAACUCAAAGGAAUUGACGGGGGCCCGCACAAGCGGAGGAACAUGUGGUUUAAUUCGAUGAUACGCGAGGAACCUUACCCGGGCUCAAACGACACAGGAACGGUCCUGAAAGGGGUCGGCUCUACGGAGCCUGUGUCGAGGUGCUGCAUGGUUGUCGUCAGCUCGUGCCGUGAGGUGUCGGCUUAAGUGCCAUAACGAGCGCAACCCCCAUCGACAGUUGCUAACAGGUUAGGCUGUGGACUCUGUCGAGACUGCCGGCGCAAGCUGCGAGGAAGGCGGGGACGACGUCAAAUCAGCACGGCCCUUACGUCCGGGGCGACACACGUGUUACAAUGGCAGGUACAGCGGGAAGCCACCUGGCGACAGGGAGCGGAACCCGAAAGCCUGUCUCAGUUCGGAUUGGAGUCUGCAACCCGACUCCACGAAGCUGGAUUCGCUAGUAAUCGCGCAUCAGCCACGGCGCGGUGAAUACGUUCCCGGGC
rnacentral:rRNA from 1 species